CAGAGUUAUCUAACUCCCACCCUUUGUUAACUAUACCUUUGUUGCUUUGGCGGGCCUGCCCUAGGCUCCCGGCCGCUCGCGGCUGGGUCGUGCCCGCCAGAGGACUCCAAACUCUUGCUUUUACAGUGUCGUCUGAGCAAUGAUUAAAUCAAAUA
rnacentral:misc_RNA from 1 species